rnacentral:misc_RNA from 1 species
GAUGAAGAACGCAGCGAAAUGCGAUAAGUAAUGUGAAUUGCAGAAUUCAGUGAAUCAUCGAAUCUUUGAACGCACAUUGCGCCCGCCAGUAUUCUGGCGGGCAUGCCUGUUCGAGCGUCAUUUCAACCAUCAAGCCCCCGGCUUGUGUUGGGGACCUGCGGCUGCCGCAGGCCCUGAAAAGCAGUGGCGGGCUCGCUGUCACACCGAGCGUAGUAGCAUACAUCUCGCUCUGGGCGUGCUGCGGGUUCCGGCCGUUAAACCACCUUCAUAACCCAAGGUUGACCUCGGAUCAGGUAGGAAGACCCGCUGAACUUAAGCAUACAAUAAGCGGAGGA